UAGGAUAGGAAGUAGGAGGAGGUGUGUCUUCUGAUUGAUGAUUGAUUGUUGACUGAUUGGGGAGUGAUGGUUUUCACCUGUGAGGGGAGAAGGAGAGAAAAGUAACACACACACAGGAUACACACACACACAGGAUAACUGCAUCCGUAACACAUUGCCUUGUCAUGUCAUCCACUGCCUUUUAUUACUGUGAGGUCUGAAUUUGUUCAGUUGGGGACACCGUAGAGAAACGUUUUCAGAUGAAAAGGGAUGUCUUUCUACAGGAUGCGAGUGUGAGGCUGAUCCGAGAGCUACGUGAGGAGAUAGACAGGCUGAAGAGAACGCUUCUCAGCUUCCAGAUGCAACGGAAUCCUGGCCCUUUUCUGAGUGAUCAGAGAGAUGGGAGUCUGUCUGACAUCGUGUUACAGAACCAACAAAAGGUGGAUGAGCUGACGAAGGACUGGUCAGAGAGCUGGCGGGACAAGAAGGAGCUGUUGGAACAGUACAGUGUGGAUAUCAACAGAGACCGGGGUGGGUUCCUCAUCCACUCCCUGUUACCACAUCUCAUUACCCUGGACCGGGACGUACUCAGCACCGGGGUCACCUUCUAUCAC